CUAUCUACAGGCUUAACACAUGCAAGUCGAGGGGCAGCAUGGUCUUAGCUUGCUAAGACUGAUGGCGACCGGCGCACGGGUGAGUAACACGUAUCCAACCUGCCGUCUACUCUUGGACAGCCUUCUGAAAGGAAGAUUAAUACAAGAUGGCAUCAUGAGUCCGCAUGUUCACAUGAUUAAAGGUAUUCCGGUAGACGAUGGGGAUGCGUUCCAUUAGAUAGUAGGCGGGGUAACGGCCCACCUAGUCUUCGAUGGAUAGGGGUUCUGAGAGGAAGGUCCCCCACAUUGGAACUGAGACACGGUCCAAACUCCUACGGGAGGCAGCAGUGAGGAAUAUUGGUCAAUGGGCGAGAGCCUGAACCAGCCAAGUAGCGUGAAGGAUGACUGCCCUAUGGGUUGUAAACUUCUUUUAUAAAGGAAUAAAGUCGGGUAUGCAUACCCGUUUGCAUGUACUUUAUGAAUAAGGAUCGGCUAACUCCGUGCCAGCAGCCGCGGUAAUACGGAGGAUCCGAGCGUUAUCCGGAUUUAUUGGGUUUAAAGGGAGCGUAGAUGGAUGUUUAAGUCAGUUGUGAAAGUUUGCGGCUCAACCGUAAAAUUGCGGUUGAUACUGGAUAUCUUGAGUGCAGUUGAGGCAGGCGGAAUUCGUGGUGUAGCGGUGAAAUGCUUAGAUAUCACGAAGAACUCCGAUUGCGAAGGCAGCCUGCUAAGCUGCAACUGACAUUGAGGCUCGAAAGUGUGGGUAUCAAACAGGAUUAGAUACCCUGGUAGUCCACACGGUAAACGAUGAAUACUCGCUGUUUGCGAUAUACUGCAAGCGGCCAAGCGAAAGCGUUAAGUAUUCCACCUGGGGAGUACGCCGGCAACGGUGAAACUCAAAGGAAUUGACGGGGGCCCGCACAAGCGGAGGAACAUGUGGUUUAAUUCGAUGAUACGCGAGGAACCUUACCCGGGCUUAAAUUGCAGAUGAAUUACGGUGAAAGCCGUAAGCCGCAAGGCAUCUGUGAAGGUGCUGCAUGGUUGUCGUCAGCUCGUGCCGUGAGGUGUCGGCUUAAGUGCCAUAACGAGCGCAACCCUUGUUGUCAGUUACUAACAGGUUCCGCUGAGGACUCUGACAAGACUGCCAUCGUAAGAUGUGAGGAAGGUGGGGAUGACGUCAAAUCAGCACGGCCCUUACGUCCGGGGCUACACACGUGUUACAAUGGGGGGUACAGAGGGCCGCUACCACGCGAGUGGAUGCCAAUCCCCAAAACCUCUCUCAGUUCGGACUGGAGUCUGCAACCCGACUCCACGAAGCUGGAUUCGCUAGUAAUCGCGCAUCAGCCACGGCGCGGUGAAUACGUUCCCGGGCCUUGUACACACCGCCCGUCAAGCCAUGGGAGCCGGGGGUACCUGAAGUGCGUAACCGCGAGGAGCGCCCUAGGGUAAAACUGG
rnacentral:rRNA from 1 species